CCCCAGGGCUGUAGCUGGGUAAGAAGAGAUGCCAGUCAUGACUGUCCCUCAGCCACAGCUGCUGUUUCUACCAAAAAAUGUGUCCCUUUUAUAGAGGGGGAAACGGGCAUCCUGGGGCCACAGCUCCUAUGCAGCUGGGGUGGGUUUGAGGCCGGGAUCUGGCCCUCAGAAUAGGGAGUGGGGAUGGUGAGGCCCACGGUUUCCCCUCGGGGAAGUUUCCCAUGAAGGAGCUCAGCGUCUCUUCUGGAGGUGGCAGGACCGGGAGGUGAGGACUUGGACAGGCAUUCCCCGCUCUGUGCCCCAACGUCCCCAUCUGCUGAGCGAGGGAGGCCUUGUCUUGUUGGGGGCGUGGGCAGCCCCGUGGGAGUGAAGUCAGAGCCCACCCUGAGGGGCAUGGGGCUGAGCUGCUGCCUGCACCUCUUCAUGGAGACUGAGCAGAUCCCAGAGCCGGAGGGCAAGGGAGGGCUGGGCCACGGGGAUGGGUCCUGAGGGUGAAGAGGCCCUGUGCAGCUGCCCUGGUGGUGACCGCCUGCAGGUGGCACUUCGAAUCCGCCCGCUCAAUGACGCAGAACUGGAGGAGGGAGCCGCAGUCAUCGCCCACAAAGUGGGGGACCAGAUGGUGGUGCUCAUGGACCCCGGCGAGGACCCUGAGGACGUGGCGCGCACACACCG
rnacentral:sRNA from 1 species